GAUGAACGCUGGCGGCGUGCCUAAUACAUGCAAGUCGAGCGAACAGAUGAGGAGCUUGCUCCUCUGACGUUAGCGGCGGACGGGUGAGUAACACGUGGAUAACCUACCUAUAAGACUGGGAUAACUUCGGGAAACCGGAGCUAAUACCGGAUAAUAUAUUGAACCGCAUGGUUCAAUAGUGAAAGACGGUUUUGCUGUCACUUAUAGAUUGAUCCGCGCCGCAUUAGCUAGUUGGUAAGGUAACGGCUUACCAAGGCAAUGAUGCGUAGCCGACCUGAGAGGGUGAUCGGCCACACUGGAACUGAGACACGGUCCAGACUCCUACGGGAGGCAGCAGUAGGGACUCUUCCGCAAUGGGCGAAAGCCUGACGGAGCAACGCCGCGUGAGUGAUGAAGGUCUUCGGCUCGUAAAACUCUGUUAUUAGGGAAGAACAAAUGUGUAAGUAACUAUGCACGUCUUGACGGUACCUAAUCAGAAAGCCACGGCUAACUACGUG
rnacentral:rRNA from 1 species